rnacentral:rRNA from 1 species
UGAGGAAUAUUGGUCAAUGGGCGCAAGCCUGAACCAGCCAUCCCGCGUGAAGGAAGAAUGCGCUACGCGUUGUAAACUUCUUUUCCAGGGGGAGAAUUUUCCUGUCGAGACAGGGAUUGACGGUACCCUGGGAAUAAGCAUCGGCUAACUCCGUGCCAGCAGCCGCGGUAAUACGGAGGAUGCGAGCGUUAUCCGGAUUUAUUGGGUUUAAAGGGUGCGUAGGCGGAUUGAUAAGUCAGUGGUGAAAUUCUGCAGCUUAACUGUAGACUGGCCGUUGAUACUGUUAGUCUUGAGUGUGGUCAAGGCAGGAGGAAUGUGUAAUGUAGCGGUGAAAUGCUUAGAUAUUACACAGAACACCGAUUGCGAGGGCAGCUUGCUGGGUCAUUACUGACGCUGAUGCACGAAAGCGUGGG